CGUGAACAGCACGCGCCAGGCAGGAUGACCAUGGCGAGCAACAUCGUGGUCGAGUGGCUGCGGUCGCUCCAUCUCGGCCAGUACUCGGAGUCGUUCAUCGACAACGGCUACGACGACCUUGAGAUCUGCAAGCAGAUCGGCGAUCCGGAUCUCGACGCGAUCGGCGUCUUCAAUCAGAAGCACCGCGCGCGCCUGCUGCAGUCGGUUAAGACUCUGCGCGAGGAGGGUGCCGCGAGUGUGUACUUCACGCUGGAGGAGACGACCAACGACAACGGCUGCGACAACGUCAGCUCCAAGUCCUCGAGGACGUCGUCCGACAGGCCGGCCAGCGACAAGGAGACGCAGCGCGCGUCGCCCACCGCCAGCUCCUCCAGCGGAGGUCAGGAGCUGACCAAGUUCGCGGACGAGUACGAGGAGGGCAAGGCCGAGCUCGUGAGAAUUCCCAGGAUGCAACUGCGGAUGCUGCUGCAGGAGAAGCUAAGACAUGACGGCAUCAGGCUGGCCUGCCAACCCUACACCACACCGGUAAGUCUACUUUGGCGAUGAACGCAGUUGACGCCUUUAUCAUCUCUAACUUCAAUUUGAGUAAGUGAUGAUAAUAUUUUUUUAAGAUAUAUAUUAUUUCGUAAAGAAAUGAAAGUUAUCCUUUAAUCUUAGUUUGUGAAAUGUUUGUUUUAUGAUAGUAUAAUAUUGCUUUGUAUCGCGAUUGUUAAGGACGAGCGAAUCGCUAACCCAAGAUCGGGCACGUCAAACGUCUUAUGCCAAUAUCUCGGUAUUAAAAAGAAACAAUGUCGAGUGGUCCCUUUGCUAGGAUUUUGCGAUCGACGUUGUUCCUUCUUUGUCAGACGGAAGUAUGGAUAUUUGCUCUCGCGCGCCAAGACGAGAGAGAGAGAGAGAGGAAAUGGAAUAAAGUUCUUAGAUUCCAAGCCAAAACUUUCCGUGCCCCUCGAUGCAGUGCAGGAUACAUACUCGCACGAUAUUAAGACGCGCAUAAAGACGCGCGAGCGUUCCCUGCACUCGCUGCUGCCAGUUACAGAGAAGAAACUAUUAAUCCGUUCGCGUCGUCGGGGUAUCAACGCGGCGCCGGCUGUUUCUAAGCGGAAGUAAUCCUGUAGGGUAUUACCGUCGAUGAUAUCGUCGUCGUCGUUGUCGUCGCCGUCGUCACUGUCGUUGUCGAGCCUGUUGUUGCUUUUUCGGGGCCGUUUAUUUUAGUGAUACUUACAUUAAAUGAUCGCUCAAUACGAAAAUUGGAGGGACAUUACAUAAAUAGAAUAUCAUAACUUUGGGAAGCUUGAUAUUGUAUAUAAAAUAUUUAAUCGAGAUGUCAAAAUCAAUCGAAAUAUGUUGAACAGAAUGAUCCGUGACAAGAAGAUAUUUAUGUUUGAAAGGGGAUUGUAACGACAUCAGAAAUAUUACGAACAUUUAUUUCAGUAACGAUAGAUCCGCAAUCGAAUGUGCCACAGCUAUCCCACAGAUUGAUAGAUUGACAAACAGGCUACUUUUUCUCAUAUUAAUAUUACGGAUAUUACAUAAAUGGUUUUAUUGAUUACUCUAUUAUAUUAUAAGUUAUAAUUUUCAAGAGUUUUAUAAGGUUAAUUAAUUUCAAUAUUGAAAGGACAAUUUAAAAAAUAUUAUCUGGUAAAUAAAUUUAAAUAAUUCUAUUUUUCUUAACAAUAUUUAUCAUUCAUAUGUGCAGCCAGUUCAAGAGAGAAUUUUAUCAAGCCUUAUCACUUAAAAAAGUGGCGAUAUCGGUUAUUCUGCACGUGUCGGUGACGUGUUGAUAUAUGCGGAGAAAAUAAAAUAAAAUUUUGCACAAUCUUUAAGACUCUGUCAACAGAUUUCAAAAUUAAAUAAAAAAUAUAAAAUAUUAGUCUAAAAUUUUGUAAAAAGACUAGUGUUAUAGAAUAAAUUUUAACAACUUUUUAACAUUGAAUUAUUUAUUGACAAUGUGUUAUUGAUGAUCGUGGAUAAAUCAGUGCAGAUCAUUAGAGAAUAUAGGGGAAUUAAUUAUCGAGAUAUUAUGCGAAUGUGAAAAUUGUAUACAUAUGCGAUUUCAUAUCGAAUAACUAUCACACGUAAUUUUCUUGGAUUUAAUAACAUAUUUAGCACAUCAGGAUUAUAUACUCGUACAACUGCGAUAAAAUAAUAUCAUUAUCAUCAGUUUAACGAUAAUAAUCUAUUUAUCGUUAUUAAUUAUGGAAUACAAAUGAUGUUACAACGACGAAAAUCUUUAUUUGACGAACUUUCGAUUACUUUUUGUGAAAAUUUAUAUUUGAAUAGUAUUCAUAUAAAAAAUAGUAUUUAAUUUGAUUUAAAAUUUUCAACAACUUCUUUUUUCUAAAAAAAUUACCGAAAAAUUUAUUUUAGUGUGAGAUCCAGAAAAAUCCAUAAAACUAAACGUGCAAAGCUUAAAAAUUUAUAAACUAAAUUCUAUGUACAUUUCUCUACAGCUUUUUGUUAAAUUUUUUAUUCCAGUUUAUUACUUUAAAAGGUAAGGAAAUAGAUACUGAUUUGAGAAAAUACGAAAAUGAAUUUUGCCUAGCGGACAUUCGAAAUUCGGCGGUGGAAUCCACCGCUGAUCCUCUAAAUUAUUAAGUGCAGGUGGAAGCCCCCAAUAUGCAUGUAUAUACAUCAGUCUGGGCUAUCUGUCUCAAGCAGCCACUCCGCCUCUUUCUCUUUUCUCGAAGGCGGCAGCAACACACAGCAGCGAGACGGUGUCGGCGGCAUCUCUCGAGGAAGAGCAUUGUUUUAUUCCGGCCGCGUAGCAGACGCUCCUCAUCCACUCUCCCCGCCCUUUCCGACUGCCACUCUCGACAAUUUAGCUCCAUCUCUGCCCCUUUGCCGUCUCCCCCGCGCGUCGGUUUUCCACUCGUUCCCUCCUGCACCUUCUGAUAACGCCGCGGCUUAAUGACUCGUGGCUGCCUCAAUAUUGCAUUGUCCGAACGUAUUCCCAAAACGUAUCGCCGAAACGGCGUUUCCGAUAGCGAUUCUUGUCCGUAUCGCUCCAGUAUCGCCCGGUACCCUUUCAAUGUGCGUCAGCCAAAUAUUUCGACCAGCCUCGAGUUCAAUAUGUGGAAAGGCUCACGAGCGUACAGGCGGCUUAUUGCCAGUUAUUUUCGGCCCACGGGGAAAAACCGGAAAAUUGACCGCACGAAAUAUCGCGCAGAAUGAGUGAGGGGGAAGGGGGAGCAGGGAAGCCGGUUAGCGAGCAAGCGAGAGAACAAGGAACAACUGACCGUGUUGACACUAUUAAUCGUGGCCACAGAUGGGAUCCAUCAUUGCAGUGGCGACGAGAGCUUCUUUCCGAUUUUUCCGGAAAAUAAAAAGAAAAAAAGAGAAAAACUGCCGAGCUCAUCAUCGCCCGUCCCACCGAUCUGCUCCGUUCGAGUCUGCUCAACCGGGCCCUUUCCCGCUCUCUACAUCACCAUCAGCGCCACGUGUUCACCUGGGAAUAACCGUUUUACCGGGCGUAUCCGAGCGGAACUCGCGUUGUACACGCGUCGUGGCUAGCUGCUAUUGAAAAAAGAGGCGAAAAAAAAAGAAAAUAGCGAUAAACCGCUUUCGGCGCUUGCGGAUUGAAAUGUCGUGUAUAUGCCGGUUGCCUCGCUGGCUGCCGACAGGCAGCACCGCCCAGUAUCGACGCUAACGCGAAUUAGCGUACCGCGUAAGUCUCCUGCGCUUUUUUUUUUUUUUUUUUUUUGUUACAGAGACGCCUGUCGGAAGAAGGGAAUUUAUCGUGCGCGCGAAAUGAAACGGUGUGUCGCUGCGUGCGGAAUUGGAAGCGGUUCGACAAAAAUGGUUAAAGUGGUUGCGCGACGAUCGGAUGCAAAUCUACAAACAAUGUACGCUUUGACGGCAAAUUGACUGUCGAUUCUGGAAAAUCCCGGGGAUUAUUGACGAACGGUCAACCCGUAAUCAUUUUCUGAUUUCUCUUCUACCAUUUGUGUUCUCUACUCUUGUAUAUAUUACGUGCGUUAAUUUUUUAAAGAGAUAGAAACGCUAAUAACAAAUUAAAAAUACGAUUAGUACUAUAUGAUUAGAUAUUUCUCGAUAGAACGUUGAUAAUUGUUACGCAUAUUGCUCGAAAUAGCUUUUAUUAUACAAACGCGUGAACUUUUUUUUUUAUAUAUACUAAAAAUGGGGUUUAAACGCACAACACGUCGAAAAUAGUCUGGCGAAAUAAUUUGUCGAUAGUCCGUUAUUUUUCCGCGCUGCGAGAAAGCGUGUAAAGCUCGCCAUGACAUCCCAAAAACGGAGGUAAAGCUGACGUUUUGCAGCGAGGGAAUGAAAACAUCGGGCAUUUGUUUUGCCCGAGCUGUGCACACGCCGUAAAUCCUAUCCCUGCGAAGACUCGCGCACUUCCACGCGCGGCACGAAUAACAGAAAUAUAAAUGCGAUCCAGCGACGGCUGGUGCAAGUAUUCAAAGUGCCGUACGUGCGAGUGCAGUUGGGGAAAGCAAAACGUGAUCGAGUGGGCUGUCUGAGCGAAUGACGAUGACGUCGGCUUCGUGUCGACGAUUCUCCACGAUCCCUCGAAUAACUACUACCGGGGUCUGUACACGCAGUAAGUUCCGAUAAUGUCGCUGGGAUCUCUCUCUCUCUCCCUCUCUCUCUGUCUCUCUCUCACUCUCGGCGAGCGUUGAGAGUCUCAAUAAGACCCGAGCGUAACCCUCCGGAAAUUGGCUCGGAAUAAUAAAUAUCGCUCGACGUGCGGUCGUUGACGUUCCUUGCGACAAUAACGCGUUCUCGAACGUUAUUGUCGAGGAGAAUGUAAUUAGCAGUUCUUCGUUCAAAUAACGGGGACUUGUUUUUUCGUAAUACCGUGCGGGAUCGAGCGGGAAACCGAAGGUAACCGAGAAGGAGAACAAAUGGAUCGCAAUCGCGCGCUUAGGACAUCGGUAUUAAACAUCCUUGUCUAACGUUUCUGUUAUAAUUAAUCUUCUAAUUAGAGGGGAGUGGCCCGCGGAAAUUGGCAACAGCAGCGGAAUCGAGAAAGCCCCCGCGGUAGCCCGGGGAUUCGCCUGAUAAACCUUUCCUUCCACGGCCACGUAUAGAGGGGUUUGCCCUGCGAGAGCCUCAUUAAUUAUUAUAGCCGGAAAUUCUGCUUGCAGAUUCGCCCCGCUUGAGCAAACUUUAUGCAAUCAUAAUGCACAAACUUGUAAUAUUUUCAUAAGCCGCAGUGACCAGUCGGUUGGCCAUUUCGUCUGUAAUCCCGCGAAGAUUCACGCAACGUCACGUGUAACGUAUGGCGAUUGCUAUUUUAAUCUAUUGCCUUUUCAUUUCCCUUAGAGAGAGCAUAUUUGAUUAAAACAAGAAUAAUGGAGAAGUCCUAUCUAUUUCCAAUGUUUAAGAAGGAAAUCAAGCAUUAACUUCAAAUAUCUUAAAUUUUAGAUGUCUUUUGGAAAUUUUUACAUUAAAGAUAAAAAUCUGAGGAAUAAUGAACAGAGACUAUUUUUAUAGUAUAAAAUGUUAUAUUUCUCGAUAACUCGCACUUGUCAAUCGUAUCUUUGUGUUAUAUGGUGCAUUUGCACAUUGUGCAUGUCUAUUGCACAUUGACUAGAUGUUGCAGUGAUGCCGAGAUAUCGCAAUGCGUAUGUGCGCUCAGCAUUAACGUAAUAAUACGAGCUAUUCAAAUUGCCUUCUAAUUACGAUGAUUUCUCUGAACUGUAAUCUACGUGCCAACCUUAACCACGUGUGUAUCAUUCGCAGUGUGUCGUUAAUAUUAUUUUCUUUCGUCUGACAUAAGUAAUCGUCCUGUCCUGUUACUGAUUACGACAUCUUUUUGCUUCCCUUGUUCUUUCAUUAUCGAGAAAACCCUAGUUAAGUAAGAAGAUGCACGAGCUCGACUUUCUGUAACUCUAUAUCUUUUUGCAUACCUAGGUAUCUAGAACAACUGAGAAUAUUUUACGAUAUAUUUUAUCUUGUAUUUAUCGUUGUUUUCUCUCGUUUUAACUUAUUUUGUUUAUAUACAUGUGGAGUUUUUUGAAAUUUUAUUCUGGCAAUUUUUUACCCAUGCAUUAUAAAACUAAUUAAAAUGAAAAAAA
rnacentral:misc_RNA from 1 species